rnacentral:rRNA from 1 species
GACGAACGCUGGCGGCGUGCUUAACACAUGCAAGUCGAGCGGUAAGGCCCUUUCGGGGUACGACGAGCGGCGAACGGGUGAGUAACACGUGGGUGACCUCGCCCUCAGCUCGUGGGAUAAGCCUGGGAAACCGGGUCUAAUACUGGAUAUGACUCCAUGACGCAUGUUGGUGGGGUGGAAAGCCUUGUGCGGCUGAGGAUGGGCCCGCGGCCUAUCAG